UACGUAGGCAGCGAGCGUUGUUCGGAAUUACUGGGCGUAAAGAGUGUGUAGGCGGUGCUCUAAGUUCGGUGUGAAAUCUCCUGGCUCAACUGGGAGGGUGCGCCGGAAACUGGAGUGCUUGAGCGUGGGAGAGGAAAGCGGAAUUCCCAGUGUAGCGGUGAAAUGCGUAGAUAUUGGGAGGAACACCAGUGGCGAAGGCGGCUCACUGGACCGGUACUGACGCUGAGGCGCGAAAGCGUGGGGAGCAAACGGG
rnacentral:rRNA from 1 species